UGCUGGUGAGACCACCACUGAUAUCCAGAGCUCCACAGGUGAGGACGAGCAUGAGGGUGUUCCGGUUACAUGGGCAUGUCCUGCUCCCUGCCUCUCCUCAUCACACCCCGCUGCCUUCACACCCUCUGUCCCCCAGCUCCACAUGCCCGGAUUCUGCACACCCUCCCCACAGCCACGGUGCUGGCAGUGGCGGCCGUUGGCCUCGUCCUCCUGGCUGCAGGCAGCUGGUUUGCCAUCAGGAAAGGUGAGGAGUGGGGAAAAAAGGGGGGAAAGGCUGAGGCGUUGGGGGUCCAGCUGAGGGCUGGUGCAGUGGGAAAGUCGGAGGGGGGAACCGGUGGAUGUACGGCUGGGGCAGACGGUGCCUGGGGGUUAUGGCUGUGGGAAGCCCAGCUGGGGAGUCUGCUGAGGUAGCUGGGGAGCUUCAGCCUUCAUCCCCCAGCCCCGAGGUGGGAGCCAGGGCUGGGCAGCACCUUGGCCUGUGCACCUCAGCCCCUGUUCUUCUUGCAGGUGCGUGCAGAGGGAGAUGCCCAAGGCAGCAGCACGUUGACAGACCACAGACCGAAGACACCAACUAUGGUGACAUCCAGUGUGAGUACUACCUCCUCCCCUGGGGGAAGCCACAUGCUCCUCUCCACAUGAGAAUCCUCUGUAAGUCCCCAUGGAAUCCUACAACUUCAUUUCCCACUGGGACAUACAAAAUCCCUGCUCGUUCAUCAAGGGACAGGUUUCUCUCCAGCACCUCACAUCCUGCUUCUUCCUUGCAUGAACAUUGCGUGUGGGCUGCUGGCUGCACAAGGGACAUGGCAGUAUCCCAGUGCUCAUAGGGACAAAGCCCAUUUGCCUGGGGGGUCCUUCCACAGCUGCUGCAGCCCCAGGCUUCAAUUCCCCUGCUUCAGCCUCUGCUUUUGUCAUUUCUUCAGUUUUCCUACAAAGCGAUUUCUGUUUUCAUGUGGUUGAAAAGACACGGCAGCGAUAAAAGAUCUGGCUCUCUUUCCUUGUUUUUCAGGGGAAAACAUUGUAUAAUUUUCUUUGAUACCACAGAGAGCAGGCAAGGGAGGAUGUUGUGGUUGGGUGACAGGCUAUAAAUAUAUCCCCACCCUAUUUGCACCUCGCUCAAGUUGCAGCACGACCUUGUUUACCCACGCUUGCACAAAGCAGCUCACAAGGUGUGCUGGCUGUGCAAAGAGAGGAGAUGCCACAGAAAGCUGGAAAUACACCAAAACCUCAGCAUCUCUGCUCCACUGCUGCUUAAUGCUCAACCCAGAGCAGGAUGAUAGGAGGGGAAAUGUGGUCAGGUGUUGAGAGCUGACCACAGGCAGCUGCUGCCCAAGGUCAGGGUGAGUUUC
rnacentral:lncRNA from 1 species